GCCUGAGGCAAGAAUGUACAGCACACCUGUUCACACCUAUUGACAGGAAGUCUGUGGCACCAGAGUCACGGGCCACCAACCCACAGCCAGUUUGCAGAAAAGGAGCAGAGUCUCAAGAAUACAAGUCCUGUGCCUCUCUCUAAGGUCAAGAAGGCGGAGGAGAACCUCCCCUGGGAACACCCAAGGUUCUAGAAGAGCUGGACCCUUGUUCCUAGCCACCUUUGUACCCCAGGGUGAGAACCAGGGAAGCUACACUGCCUGGCUCCAAGACCGGGAUGCAGAAGGACAGCACCUGGAGUGACAGCCCACAGAGCUAGCCCCCUGGCCUGGCGGGGGACCCCGGCCCCAGGAGGCAGGAAGGACACGCGCCUCCAUCUGAGUCAGAUGGGCUAUGCCCUGCAGACUGUUACGGAACCGGGGCCCACGUCCCUGCACCUG